GGGCGCGAUUAUUAUUCUCUAACUGUAGUAAACAUGGAGAAAUGUCAUUCACAAUUAUUAUAAAGAACAUAAUUAUUGAUAUCACACUACAUAAAUUUGAGUCAUCUAUUCGAGUAAUUAUAUAUUACGCGUUAAAAAUAAUUUCUUUUUAAAAAAUUAUAACUAUUUUUUUAUCUAGUUUUCACACUAUGAUUAGUUUACAUUCCAUAUAUUAAUCUUAUAUGAAAUAGCAAUUCUUCAUGGAAUAGCAAGAGUUCUCCAUUCAUAGAGAUAAUGAAAGAAAAUACAACACAUUGUGCUUAGCAAUUAAGAAGGUAAUUAAUUAGUGAUAAUGGGAAGAAGAUAAUGAAAAAAAAAAAAAAA
rnacentral:misc_RNA from 1 species